rnacentral:rRNA from 1 species
UACGGAGGGUGCAAGCGUUAUCCGGAUUCACUGGGUUUAAAGGGUGCGUAGGUGGUCAAGUAAGUCAGUGGUGAAAUCUCCGGGCUUAACCCGGAAACUGCCAUUGAUACUAUUUGUCUUGAAUUAUCUGGAGGUAAGCGGAAUAUGUCAUGUAGCGGUGAAAUGCUUAGAUAUGACAUAGAACACCCAUUGCGAAGGCAGCUUACUACGGAUAUAUUGACACUGAGGCACGAAAGCGUGGGGAUCAAACAGG